GAGAACGUAGGUCAGGCCGCAGCUACUUCGCAGGCGGCGGAGGGGCAGCUGGGCAGCGCCUAGCUGGUCCCGGGUUACCGCCGGGCGCUUUCGC
rnacentral:tRNA from 1 species